rnacentral:lncRNA from 1 species
UAUAAUGUAGCUAACUAGCUAGAGUGGUAUCUUUAUGUGGAAAAAUUUCCGGGAGGAGAAUGGUAUUAGUGGAGAAGACCGAAGUUCAUGAACUUGCUAUUUCGCUUGUUAUUUUCUUUUGAUGCAGAGAGUACUUUAAUAUGAUGUUAUACAGGAAGUCAACUCUUUCCUUGAUCUUUUGUUUUUAGUAACUUGGGUGUGAGCUUGGCUUCAUAUGAUGAUGACUUGCCGUGUUCCCUCGCGAAUUCCACAUACUAAUCAAGCUUCAUUCUCUGCAGGCAUUUGAUUGGCUUUUUUCUUUUUCUUUCGUUGACCAUCUAUACAGCAAUGAAGGUUCCAAAUGUCCACCUUCAUUCUAUGCAUCUGUCAGAUGCUCUGAAAGCUGAUUUGCACAAAUUGCAUUCAUGCCUACCUUCUUUACCACACAUGCCCGAUCUUCAUAGACUCAGGGAUGAGCUAAAGACUACAUUGCCUUCGAUGGAUUUCUCAGGAUGGCAUGUUACAGAACUUCUCUACAAUUGUUUGCCUGAGCGAUUUUCCUAUGUCAACCACACUGAUGUUUGUCGCUUGGUAAUUUUCUUUCACGCUUUUGAUGCUUGACAAGAACCUGAUAGUUACUUACGCUCAGUGUUCAUUCCGUAAAGUGUUUCUGAUAGCGAUAGCCUGUCAUCGUAUCUUUGUAGUGUUCUGAAAUCUUCCAACGUUGAACUAGUUUUUCUGGCAUGGUUGUUACUGCCUGAUAGCCACCCUUGCCUGUCUUUUAUCUCCCCUUGUCUUAUCAAUGCUAUACUAAAGUAACUUGGCUUUAGCACUGUUGUUUCUCAAGUGUUUGUGGUACUAGUUUCUGUUCUUUUAUCUUUAGUAAUCCUGUUUUUUAAACUGUCAACGCAGCGGAGCAUGACAGAUGAUGUAGGGAAUAUGAUAGCACCACUUAUGGUGAGACCUAUCACCAGAUGGCCGUUUUUUGCCUUCAUGGGAGGAGCAAUGUUCUGCUUGCUUGCUAGCAGCAUAUGUCACCUUUUCUCUUGCCACUCGGAGCGCAUGGCAUAUAUAAUGCUCCGGGUUGAUUAUGCUGGAAUUGCAGCUCUGAUAGCGACCUCCUUCUACCCACCAGUAUACUAUUCCUUCAUGUGCAAUCCAUUCUUCUGCAACCUCUACUUGGGAUUCAUAACCCUAUUUGGGAUUACCACUGUUUUGUUCUCGUUACUCCCAGUUUUCCAAAACCCGGAAUGGCGUACAGUUCGUGCAUCCCUCUUCUCUUUCAUGGGUCUUUCUGGAGCAGCGCCCAUAUUGCACAAGCUCAUAGUGUUCUGGCACCAGCCUGAGGCACUCCACACCACUGGGUAUGAACUCCUAAUGGGAUUUUUCUAUGGACUUGGAGCUGUGGUAUAUGCAACAAGAGUUCCAGAGCGGUGGAUGCCUGGGAAAUGUGACCUUGCAGGCCACAGUCACCAAUUUUUCCACGUGCUAGUGGUGGCUGGAGCUUAUGCCCAUUACCGGGCAGGACUUGUUUACCUAAAAUGGAGAGACCUCCAUGGAUGCUAAUGUGGAAGAUUUAACAGGGGAACUGAGGGUCUGUAUGUGAUUAAGAAAUGAAUUUAUGUUAGUUAGGAGAAGCAAAUAAUGUGUACAAUGUCAAUAUAAAAGAUGUAAGUAGGCGAAAUAGAGUGAAAAGGAAAUAGAAAUGAAGUGGGAGAGGGACGAUGGUUAUCUGAUCUCGUAGAAUGCAUCAUUCAUUAGUGUGCCUAUGUCAUAUUGAAGUUGGUGGUGGCUGCUGCUGCUGCUGCUAUUUCUUUGUAAUGGCAAGAAAUGCCAUUGGUGUAGGGUCAAGACUCUGCUAGUAGUAGUACGUUGUAAUGGUCUAAGUUUAUGUUGCAAUAAUUUGAUAUUGAAAAUUAUGUUUAUGUCAUAUGAUUUGUGAUGUUGUAACCAGUAACCAACAGAGCUUUGAAAUUCUAACAAGGACAUUUAGCUCCAUUAGGCACGUUGGGGUUCCGGAGUCUGGACUGUCACAGUUUAACAAGUGAUACCAAGUCUUGCAACAGUGAGUAACUUUUUGGAUCCGCCUGAUUGCCGGAAGCUUUUCAAUAAGUGAUACUCUUGUUUCUUUUUUGCCCCAGAAACGGCUAAAGAAAAGAACGAAGAAUGGCUUGUUUCUUCAGAGUUCAGAAUACCAUCCUUGCUUCAACACCAUAAUAACAAUGAACGCCGGCCUAGUGAUCAAAUUUGUAAAUAUUAAGAAAUUGAAUAUGUAUUUCAUUUUUGUUCCCGAAAAGGAUGGUACCCGAAUUGUCAUUCCUCUAAAACGUUCAAAAGAGUGUACAUAAUGCCCACCGAAGGUACAAACUCCACAAACGGAGCUGUAUGGCCCGCAGGUCUCCGCCAAUAAACGUUAACCUCGAUCCUUGCUCACCAGCUAACGGACAACUGUAAAGAAACAGAGUCAUCAGAGAACAAUAAACAAAAGUGCGCUGACACAUUACUAAAAGAAGCAAAACACUAGCAAUGGAUGCUUAAAGGUCCUUAUUGGAAACAUCAUAAGGUUAGUCUCAUGGCUAUCCCUCCUUCCUUCAUAGUUGAGAGUUUUAGCCCCCGAUUUCCGGAGCGAAUCUGGUGGGCGUAGGUCUCCUCCGAAAUGUGUUCCCCGAAUCAACAGUCGGGAUGUUGGGAGAGGAGAUGUUGGUCCUCACGGUGGGGGAUCUGGUGGUGGUGGUUGGAAACCCAGCAACGGACGCUGGAGGCGUGACAGUGGUGCAGUGACUCGUGGCGCGGUGGAUUCGAGAGAUCCCCGUUCUUCUUGCCACAUGUAGGUGUGGUCGUAGCACUUAGAGACGGGGUUCCAUGCGGUGGCCUCGAGAUGAAGGAGCUCGUUUGGGCUCGGUGAUGUUCCAUGGACGAGAGGGGUGGCUAGGGUUUAGGAUUUGGCGGGAGGCUCUCGAGAGAGUGGCAACUAUGCUUCGGAGAAGCGGCAGUUAGGACAGCAGUUUUGCUUUGCUACUUUGAUAAUAUGUAUUGUUGAUUGUUGAAGUGUUGAAUAUCUACUUCAUUUAUUAUUAUUGUAGACGUAAGUUGUAAAAUUAAUCAUUUAAAUUGUACAAAUUAGUAGUCAGCUAACUUAGAGAGGUUGCUGGAAAAUCCAUCUCUCAAACAUUGCAAAACAUUCCCUGGGAUUGUACUCUGGAGCAGUGUGACCGCCUCCCUGGACGUUAAGAAACAAAUCAACAAAUGAAUUCUAAACUUAAACACUCAGGAAAUCCAAAUUAUAGAACAAGCAACAGAAAGAUGAGGGUUGCCUUGCCUUGGCAGUUGCAAAUGUUAAGCCAUUGGCGUGUCUCUCAGCGUACCUGCAUUACGUGACAAGUUGGUAUAUAUUAGUCUAACAAGUCUUGGACUGAUGGGGAAACAAAAUUGGCAGUCCCCAGUUUCGGCAGGGUCCCCUACACAGCAACUUGACCAUCGACUAGCCAUGGUCGCCAUUUCUCUACAACCGUGAGAUUCAAAGAUUUGAUCCAGUCCAGAGUUCCCAAGUAAGGAAUCACCAUGUCAUGAUCUCCACUGUAAUGAUCAAACACCAGAGUAAGUAAAACAAUGAAAUCGAUGCCCUAUUAAGUAGAAAUGGGGAAUUCCAACGAUUAUAUUCACCUGAAAAUGAGAGCGGGGAAGCCUCUGGCAUUCAGAUAUUGAAUGGUACUUGAUAGUGCUCGAUAUAUCUCGAAUGUAAUGCAAGCUCUCAUUGUAUAUAUCUCAAGGUUUGAUUUUUGACUCUACCUUCCAAGCAUGAAGUGCCUUCUGAACACUGAUGUCAUUAGCCCAUAUGUUGCAAAGAAAGCUAUUGUAGCCCUGCAGUACUCUACUCACUCACUCCAAUUCAAACCCAAAUAUAAAUUAAUAAUAAAUAAAAACAAAAUUCACCAGUGGAUCAAAGAAGUCUACCCGGCAUUUGGGUUGAGGGUAAUCAGGUGGUAUGAGGGGGAAUUGUUCAGUUUUCUGAUGAAGAAACCUCUGAUCUUCAUUCAAGCUGUCAAGUAUCCUGAAGGUGGCAGUGCAUUGGGGUUCCAGAAUGUGUGAUCUUUCUGUGCACUGUCCGAAACAAACAAUUGAAAAAAACAGUGUUGCUGAUAGAUGAAAAGAAUGAAGAAUGAAGAAUAUUGGAAGUACCCGAGGUUAAUAUAUGUGUAAUGAUAGGUGGAACCACCAUGCCGGAAUAUGAGUCUCCAGCAAUAUACAAAGGGUUGUUCAAGAAUCUGGGCUUAUGAAUAAGAAUUGAUGGAAGAUUGUAAGUAAAGAAGCAUUAUUUUUGUAGACGACCGACCUUAUAAAGAUUCAUCAGAUUCAGAGCAUUCAGAGCAUGUAGGACUACUCAAUUGCAAUAGGUGUUGGUAUUAUUUGGAAGCGGAGUAACCGACUUAAAAAGGAGGUUAUUUGUCGUGAUAAGUCAUGUAAAUGGAGAGCGUAUGCUAGUUGGCAUGGGAGGAAAACUAUAUUUAUGGUAAAAGGUGUAGGUGAGCCUCACAAUUGUCCAUGUGCCCUUCGCAAUAAACAAGCAUCGUCAAGGUUGAUUGUCAAAACUUUUCUUGAUAGGUCUAGGUAUAAUCCAAAUUGGGAUCUUGUGCAAAUGGCCAUUGAAUUGAAAGAAACAUAUGCAUUAGAUGUUAAUACUAAGAAGUGCUAUAGAGCCAGAGAACAUGCAACAAAAAUCUUGAAAGGCACUUUGGGAGAUGAAUACAAUAAACUCCGUUUAUAUAUUGUCGAAAUUAAAAAAGUUGAUCCUAAUGGACGAUUUGACUUAGAAGUUGAAGUUGAAGUUGAUGAGAAUGCUCAUAAGAUUUACUUUCAAAGACUCUUUGUGGGGUUUUCAUGUGUUGAGAAGGGGUUUUGGUAGGUUGUAGGCCAAUGUUUGGUUUGGAUGAGUGUUUUCAGAAAGGAGAAGUAAAAGGAAUAUUAUUUAGUGCUAUAGGAAAAGAUGGAAACAGUAAAUAGUACCCUGUAGCAUGGGUUGUUGUUUAAGGUGAAAAUCAAAAUUCAUGGACAUGGUUCGUACAAACAUUGUAGAAAGAGUUAGGCUUACAAGAUGGCAAUGGGUGGUCAGUGAUUUCGGACCAACAAAAGGUAGGAAAAGCUCAAGUCGAUCUCUUAAGCCUUUAUAUAUGUCCAUGAAUUAAGUACAUUUCUUAACUUUGUUUGUUGAUUAUUUUUAGGGUCUAGUGCAGACACUUCAAGAGUGUUUACUCCAACCAUAACCUUAGCUUGGCCACUGAAACACCAACGAUUGAUCAUAGUUAUUCCUUGAUAAUCUGUAAAUAUUUGGUGGCUGGUUCGGGGUCAGUCCUCAUAAAUCACAAUAAAGAUCACAAUCACAAACACAUAAGCAAUAUGACUCUGGCUUUUUCCAUAUUUUAGUUGGGAUCCCUGGCUCAUGUAUGCUGACGAUUCCCGGGCAUUCGCAUAUCAUUAAUGGUAAAUUCAGACCCAUUUCAAUUAUCAUUGGUGGCACCAUCAAGGGCCCAUUAUUCGCACCCAUUUGGGGCCAUAUACACGUAGCAAUAGUGCAAUAUGCACACACAUAGAUCGCCAACAUACGGGUCCUAAUCUAAGUGAUCAUACCAUUUCCAUCAUUAACCCAUUGAUAUUCACUUCGACCUACUAAACACUUCUCGUAUCACAUAUUAAAUAAGACAUAUCACACCAAUCAUGUACAACACGACUUUUAAAAAAGAAGAUAGUCAACCAAUCAUAUACACUUAGUCUUGUGAUAUUGCCACUAUAUCACAUAUUCAAUUCACUAGUUAUGCAUAUAAAAGGAAGUAUAAUUCGCAUAAUCAGUCAUUAAAUUAAUUAUGUAUGUGGAAUUUUCCCCUUAAACCAACCCACUUUGGGUGGAUCGUUUUUGGAUUGAAAUAUACGUCCACGUCCACGAAUCAGUCAAUUACUUCAUUUUCGUAACUGUCCGAGCUAAAAUGUAAUGGCUGGAAAGUAUCUAGGCCACAACUGUCCAUAUUUAAAAGUUAUGGGUUACACCGGAGUUUACCAAAAUUAUGAGGACUAAACUAGAAAAUAAACACAGAGAACUAAAAUGGGAUUUUACCAUCAUCUUCCUUAAUUUACGGAGAUGAAUUCCACUGAAGCAGUCGUCAUUCUGACGAGCUUAUAUCCACUACAUAAUUGCUCACAUAUGAUGAUGGAUCUGAAGACACGAUUAGAUUCCUCGGAUCAGAACUUAUCUAAUGAGAUGGUCUAGGAAGUAGCUUCUUUUGUAGAAAGGGUGGACCAAAGUCCUAUCUAUUAGGAACAAUCAUACGAGGGGUAGCGACGCCCACCAAAUACGCCAAGAUACAAUCAAGAACAGCCUGGGAAGGGGGUUAAUGAAAUGUAAACUUCCACUAACACGGUGACUCAUGUGCGCCAGACGAUCGACAACAAAGUUGCCUUUUCGAUAAAUAUGAUUAAUGCUCACAGUCCAAGGUCUAUCGAGAAGCCUGGCGUCCUCGAUGCAGGUACGGUGAUCAAGGUUCGACUCGUUAUGACUCAUCAAACACGAGAUCACUAUCUGAUAGUCGAGUUGAAGAUUGAUGUUUCUAUAGCCUAAAUUAUAGGCAGUUCGGAGGCCAUACAAGGCACCCAUAAUCUCUACUUUGUAAUAGUACAUUGCUCGAGAUUAGCAGCAAAGGUAGAUAUACCCCCCGUCGCUGCUUGUUUCGAUUGAAUCCUUCUGACGUUGGUCCUCGCCGGCGGGUCAAUCAGAAAAGAUGGAAGAGAUGCUCCAGUUAGUUGUAGGAAAUGAUAAUGGUAUCAAUUGAAUUAUGGAUGGCUUGCUUACCUUCGUGGAUGAGGGAAUCAAACUAAAACCAGCUGGACUAGCUACUUCCAUGGUCGUCGUCAAGCUUGUUAGAGCUUUGAGGUCGGAGAAGGAGACUUAGUUUAUGGAGAUUCUUGUUCUCCAGGACGAUCAGGAAGGUUUAUAAUGACUCUAGAAGGUCCUGCUUGCAUUAUUGGAGGUAAAAUAUGAGCAUACGGCUGUAUCGAUGAAAAUGACCGGCACAACAAGAAAAACCGACAAAGGCUCCGAUAUGACGUUCUGGGACCGAUAUAGUGAAUUAUAG